rnacentral:rRNA from 1 species
UACGUAGGGACCAAGCGUUGUUCGGAUUUACUGGGCGUAAAGGGCGCGUAGGCGGCUUGUCAAGUCACUUGUGAAAUCUCUGGGCUUAACCCAGAACGGCCAAGUGAAACUGACAUGCUAGAGUGCAGAAGGGGCAAUCGGAAUUCUUGGUGUAGCGGUGAAAUGCGUAGAUAUCAAGAGGAACACCUGAGGUGAAGACGGGUUGCUGGGCUGACACGUGACGCUGAGGCGCGAAAGCCAGGGGAGCAAACGGG